GGGUUGUGAGGUUAAGCGACUAAGCGUACACGGUGGAUGCCCUGGCAGUCAGAGGCGAUGAAGGACGUGCUAAUCUGCGAAAAGCGCCGGCGAGGUGAUAUGAACCUUUGACCCGGCGAUGUCCGAAUGGGGAAACCCAGUGUGAUUCGUCACACUAUCGUUAACUGAAUACAUAGGUUAACGAGGCGAACCGGGGGAACUGAAACAUCUAAGUACCCCGAGGAAAAGAAAUCAACCGAGAUUCCCCCAGUAGCGGCGAGCGAACGGGGAGCAGCCCAGAGUCUGAAUCAGCUUGUGUGUUAGUGGAAGCGUCUGGAAAGUCGCACGGUACAGGGUGACAGUCCCGUACACGAAAACACACAGGUUGUGAACUCGAAGAGUAGGGCGGGACACGUGGUAUCCUGUCUGAAUAUGGGGGGACCAUCCUCCAAGGCUAAAUACUCCUGACUGACCGAUAGUGAACCAGUACCGUGAGGGAAAGGCGAAAAGAACCCCGGCGAGGGGAGUGAAAAAGAACCUGAAACCGUGUACGUACAAGCAGUGGGAGCACCUUCGUGGUGUGACUGCGUACCUUUUGUAUAAUGGGUCAGCGACUUAUAUUCUGUAGCAAGGUUAACCGUAUAGGGGAGCCGAAGGGAAACCGAGUCUUAACUGGGCGUUAAGUUGCAGGGUAUAGACCCGAAACCCGGUGAUCUAGCCAUGGGCAGGUUGAAGGUUGGGUAACACUAACUGGAGGACCGAACCGACUAAUGUUGAAAAAUUAGCGGAUGACUUGUGGCUGGGGGUGAAAGGCCAAUCAAACCGGGAGAUAGCUGGUUCUCCCCGAAAGCUAUUUAGGUAGCGCCUCGUGAACUCAUCUUCGGGGUAGAGCACUGUUUCGGCUAGGGGGCCAUCCCGGCUUACCAACCCGAUGCAAACUACGAAUACCGAAGAAUGUUAUCACGGGAGACACACGGCGGGUGCUAACGUCCGUCGUGAAGAGGGAAACAACCCAGACCGCCAGCUAAGGUCCCAAAGUCAUGGUUAAGUGGGAAACGAUGUGGGAAGGCACAGACAGCCAGGAUGUUGGCUUAGAAGCAGCCAUCAUUUAAAGAAAGCGUAAUAGCUCACUGGUCGAGUCGGCCUGCGCGGAAGAUGUAACGGGGCUAAACCAUGCACCGAAGCUGCGGCAGCGACGCUUAUGCGUUGUUGGGUAGGGGAGCGUUCUGUAAGCCGUUGAAGGUGUGCUGUGAGGCAUGCUGGAGGUAUCAGAAGUGCGAAUGCUGACAUAAGUAACGAUAAAGCGGGUGAAAAGCCCGCUCGCCGGAAGACCAAGGGUUCCUGUCCAACGUUAAUCGGGGCAGGGUGAGUCGACCCCUAAGGCGAGGCCGAAAGGCGUAGUCGAUGGGAAACAGGUUAAUAUUCCUGUACUUGGUGUUACUGCGAAGGGGGGACGGAGAAGGCUAUGUUAGCCGGGCGACGGUUGUCCCGGUUUAAGCAUGUAGGCGGAGGUUCCAGGUAAAUCCGGUACCUUUUAACGCUGAGGUGUGAUGACGAGGCACUACGGUGCUGAAGUAACAAAUGCCCUGCUUCCAGGAAAAGCCUCUAAGCAUCAGGUAACAUUAAAUCGUACCCCAAACCGACACAGGUGGUCAGGUAGAGAAUACCAAGGCGCUUGAGAGAACUCGGGUGAAGGAACUAGGCAAAAUGGUGCCGUAACUUCGGGAGAAGGCACGCUGAUAUGUAGGUGAAGCCCCUGCGGGUGGAGCUGAAAUCAGUCGAAGAUACCAGCUGGCUGCAACUGUUUAUUAAAAACACAGCACUGUGCAAACACGAAAGUGGACGUAUACGGUGUGACGCCUGCCCGGUGCCGGAAGGUUAAUUGAUGGGGUUAGCGGCAACGCGAAGCUCUUGAUCGAAGCCCCGGUAAACGGCGGCCGUAACUAUAACGGUCCUAAGGUAGCGAAAUUCCUUGUCGGGUAAGUUCCGACCUGCACGAAUGGCGUAAUGAUGGCCAGGCUGUCUCCACCCGAGACUCAGUGAAAUUGAACUCGCUGUGAAGAUGCAGUGUACCCGCGGCAAGACGGAAAGACCCCGUGAACCUUUACUAUAGCUUGACACUGAACACUGGUCCUUGAUGUGUAGGAUAGGUGGGAGGCUUUGAAGCGUGGACGCCAGUCUGCGUGGAGCCGUCCUUGAAAUACCACCCUUUAAUGGCUGGUGUUCUAACGUAGACCCGUGAUCCGGGUUGCGGACAGUGUCUGGUGGGUAGUUUGACUGGGGCGGUCUCCUCCCAAAGAGUAACGGAGGAGCACGAAGGUUAGCUAAUCCUGGUCGGACAUCAGGAGGUUAGUGCAAUGGCAUAAGCUAGCUUGACUGCGAGAGUGACGGCUCGAGCAGGUGCGAAAGCAGGUCAUAGUGAUCCGGUGGUUCUGAAUGGAAGGGCCAUCGCUCAACGGAUAAAAGGUACUCCGGGGAUAACAGGCUGAUACCGCCCAAGAGUUCAUAUCGACGGCGGUGUUUGGCACCUCGAUGUCGGCUCAUCACAUCCUGGGGCUGAAGUAGGUCCCAAGGGUAUGGCUGUUCGCCAUUUAAAGUGGUACGCGAGCUGGGUUUAGAACGUCGUGAGACAGUUCGGUCCCUAUCUGCCGUGGGCGCUGGAGAAUUGAGGGGGGCUGCUCCUAGUACGAGAGGACCGGAGUGGACGCAUCACUGGUGUUCGGGUUGUCAUGCCAAUGGCACUGCCCGGUAGCUAAAUGCGGAAAAGAUAAGUGCUGAAAGCAUCUAAGCACGAAACUUGCCCCGAGAUGAGUUCUCCCUGAGACUUUAAGUCUCCUGAAGGAACGUUAAAGACUAUGACGUUGAUAGGUCGGGUGUGUAAGCGCAGCGAUGCGUUGAGCUAACCGAUACUAAUGAACCGUGAGGCUUAACCUUACAACGCCGAAG
rnacentral:rRNA from 1 species